CCUACGGGAGGCAGCAGUGGGGAAUAUUGGGCAAUGGAGGAAACUCUGACCCAGCAACGCCGCGUGAAUGAUGAAGGUCUUCGGAUUGUAAAGUUCUUUUCUAAGGGAAGAAGAAAGUGACGGUACCUUAGGAAUAAGCCUCGGCUAACUACGUGCCAGCAGCCGCGGUAAUACGUAGGAGGCGAGCGUUAUCCGGAAUGACUGGGCGUAAAGGGGGCGUAGGUGGUUUGGCAAGUUAGUAGCGUAACUCCAAGGCUCAACCUUGGAACUACUACUAAAACUGUUGGACUUGAGUGCAGGAGGGGCAAGCGGAAUUCCUAGGGUAGCGGUGGAAUGCGUAGAUAUUAGGAGGAACACCAGUGGCGAAGGCGGGUUGCUAGACUGUAACUGACAGUGAGGCACGAAAGCGUGGGGAGCAAACAGGAUUAGAUUACCCCUGUAGUC
rnacentral:rRNA from 1 species